UUUUUAUCGCGAUCUACUUAACUUUAGUAUUUGUGGAAUACAAUGUGUCCGUCGAGGUAAAUCAUCAAACGCAUCAUAGCAGUACAAGAUCAGCCUUGACGGCACCACUUGCUCAAAACAGAACCAGCCGCAAACACAACAGAAAUACGAGUAAAAGUCAUUCGCGAAAAUUUGCACCGGCUUCAGAUCAAACCCGGGUAUCACAGGUUUCCCACAGACAUAACACCUACAAACCUAAAGUUAAUGCAACGGUGUGCUACAUGAUCGGAAACAAAUGUGUCCUCAAGCCUCCCAUCAAUCCAGCUGUCGCUACCGGAGCAGGUGUGGGUUAGCGCAUGAUCGAGCUGUUGUGCAGAAUGCGGCCGGGGCCCGGGUUGAAGAAUGCGGCCGAUGUGCUGCAAGACUGGGCUAACCAUUUUAGAAGAAAAUACGGAGUAUGAUUAUGGAAAGAUCCGAGUACAAUUUUAGCCCGGAGGCUGCCGGAUUCAUUAAGCCGAUACGAUUGUGAUUAGCCAUAAGUCCAUUGAAUAGGUUUGAUAUCAAUAAAUACAACGCCGAUAAUCUAUGCGCAAGCGUGGUUAAACUGUUAAAGUUCCUGUGGUUCCGCAGUCCAGAAUAAAAAAUAGAUUUAGAAUAGGGUACGCGGUGCAAUACGGAUUGACUUGAUCGUUGACAGUUUAAUUAACUGAAAAAUCUUUCGCAAUAAAAUUACUGUACGUAAUACAACAAGAUAAAUUCGUUCAGUCAAUUUCUGAUUCUGUAUAGUUUGGUGUGAUGUUUAUUGUCUUUGCACAAUUCGUUGUAGUAAUUAAUGAUUUAGAAGU